CUGUGACCUUUAGGAUAUAAAAUAAGACACCUGAAACUGUAAGUUCAAAAUCAAAAAGUAAUGGCUGCCCCAAUAGAGGAUGUCCUCAUUGAGGUCCAUCCAUCUGAUGGUAAGUUGGGAAUGUGUAACCCUAUAGUGAUAACUAUAAUGCCUUUUGUUUUUGGUAGAUGAACUUGGUAAGUUGUUGGUACAUGUAUGUUUGUGUUGUACAUUAAAAGCAAAAAAUAAUUGUAUUUAUAGCAGAAAAAGAUGAAGUAAGGGUGAAAGAGACGAAAGGAGACAGAGGAGAGAGGACAGAGGAGAAGGGGGACAGAGACAAAGAGGAGGGUGGAGAUAGUCAAAAGGAGAAUGAAUCAAACGGCUUAACUAUGAGAAGGACUAUUAAGCUAAAAAGCAAGAAGAAAGAAGGAAGGCCCUU